CAUGUUGGUCUACCAACAGAAGCCUACUGGUACAUGCAAUGGAGUGAUUCUAUGUAUGAAGCUAUCAGGACAAUACAUUCAGUGGUUAAGAAGAUUAAACUAACUUGAAGAAAUAAGUUAGAGUAAGAGUUAUUAUGAGC
rfam:Orientia tsutsugamushi str. TT76 ut76.contig.58_1, whole genome shotgun sequence.